rnacentral:rRNA from 1 species
GCGUCCGAAUUGUAAUCUAUAGAGUCGUUUUCCGUGCCGGACUGUGUCCAAGUCCCUUGGAACAGGGUAUCAAAGAAGGUGAUAAUCCCGUACUUGACACAAUGACCGGUGCUCUGUGAUACGUCUUCUACGAGUCGAGUUGUUUGGGAAUGCAGCUCAAAAUGGGUGGUGAGUUCCAUCUAAAGCUAAAUAUUGGCGAGAGACCGAUAGCGAACAACUACCGUGAGGGAAAGAUGAAAAGCACUUUGGAAAGAGACUUAAACAGUACGUGAAAUUGUUAAAAGGGAAACGAUUGAAGUCAGUCGUGACUGAGAGGCUCAGCCGGUUCUGCCGGUGUAUUCCCCUCAGUCGGGUCAACAUCAGUUUUGUUCGGUGGAUAAGGGCAGUUGGAAGGUGGCACCCUCGGGUGUGUUAUAGCCAGCUGUCGCAUACAUCGGAUGAGACUGAGGAAUGCAGCUCGCCUUUAUGGCCGGGGUUCGCCCACGUUCGAGCUUAGGAUGUUGACAUAAUGGCUUUAA